GGUCGUCCUGAGUCCGCGCCCGCUCCAGUUGCUGCAGCUGCUGCUGCUGGCGGCUGCGGGGAGCGCGGGGCGCGCGCCGAAGAGGCUUGGGCGGCGAGGACGGCGACGAGGAGGAGUCGGAGGCGGCAAGGAGGAAGAGCGAGCGGAGGCCGAGGGGCUCAGCGGCGUGGCGACAGGACUAGGGGGUCCCGAGAACAUGGGCUAGCAGGCGGCCACGGCCCGGCGGCCGGACGCGGUGAACCUGCCGUGGCCGGGCGCGCACUGGCGCGGCGAGCCGGAGCCGAGCGCAGCCGGGGGAGGAGGGCUGGCGCAGGGGCGCCCGGGCGGAGGGGGCCGAUUAUCCAUUAUUAACGAGUUACCACCUAAUAAGCGGAGAGCGGCUCGUUAGCCGCGCGGGAGGCGCUCGGGGAAGGGGGUCACCGGCCGAGCGCAGCGCACACCCGUGGCGCACGGCGGGCGGCGCGGCGCCGAGGACACCCGGGCCCGCGGGCGGCCCGCGGCGCCCCCUGGCUCUCGGCGCUCGGGGCCAGCGCAGCCCGGGGCGAGCGGGGCGCGGGCCGGGGAGGGGGAGCUGCCCGCGCACUCCAUCCCCCUCCCCCCCGGGCGGGCCGGCGGCCGGGGGGAGGGCGGGCGGCGGCGGCUCGCUGUAUAUAUCUCGGCGCACCCCGCCAGGUCGCGCACAGCGCCCAGAGCCCAGGCGCCUCCCCGCCCCCCUCCCGCGCUCCGCGGCGGCGGCGGCGGCGGCAGCAGUAGCAGCAAUAUGGCUGUUGAUGGGUGUUUGGGGUGGCGCUGGCGGCGGGAGGAGCUCCCCCGAGCCCCUGCGCCGGCUGCCCGUUGCUAGCUAUGGCAAAUGGUGGCGGCGGCGGCGGCGGCAGCAGCGGCGGCGGCGGCGGCGGCGGAGGCAGCAGUCUUAGAAUGAGUAGCAAUAUCCACGCGAACCAUCUCAGCCUAGACGCGUCCUCCUCCUCCUCCUCCUCCUCCUCUUCUUCUUCUUCCUCCUCCUCCUCUUCCUCCUCGUCCUCAGUCCACGAGCCCAAGAUGGAUGCGCUCAUCAUCCCGGUGACCAUGGAGGUGCCGUGCGACAGCCGGGGCCAACGCAUGUGGUGGGCUUUCCUGGCCUCCUCCAUGGUGACUUUCUUCGGGGGCCUCUUCAUCAUCUUGCUCUGGCGGACGCUCAAGUACCUGUGGACCGUGUGCUGCCACUGCGGGGGCAAGACGAAGGAGGCCCAGAAGAUUAACAAUGGCUCAAGCCAGGCGGAUGGCACUCUCAAACCAGUGGAUGAAAAAGAGGAGGCAGUGGCCGCCGAGGUCGGCUGGAUGACCUCUGUGAAGGACUGGGCGGGGGUGAUGAUAUCCGCCCAGACACUGACUGGCAGAGUCCUGGUUGUCUUAGUCUUUGCUCUCAGCAUCGGUGCACUUGUAAUAUACUUCAUAGAUUCGUCAAAGUGAGUAUUCAAAUAUACUUUCUUGCCCUCGUUUCAUAAACAAUCAUGAGCCUUUACAUUGAUCCAUUUAUUUACCUUGACACCAACCUUUGCAAGACCUUCUGAGUGCAGAAGAUUUUGGAGGAAGCUGGGGCUGUACUGUACUGAUUUUCUAAAUGGGAAAGAAAGUUCUCAGAAGGAAGGCUAUUUUGAGUCUGCUGGCAUAGGAGGGUGAGGUAUAUGAGGUCAAGUCUUCUUGCUGGGUAUUACUUAUUUUUAAAGAGCUCUUUCCUGAUGAUGUAUUUGUACUGAAGAUGUCAAGUAGUUAAGAUGACUUGAUGGGAAUUUGCAACUUCUGGGAGGGUGACAGUUUCCCACAGAUGAGGGUCUGAGCCAUUCUUGCUAUGGUUGUAGGAUCCUUUUCUCAGUCGGGUUUCCAAUGCUUUGAUCUUACUGGAGGUCAGAUUAGAAAGCAUGGUGCUAUCGUUUCACCUGCCAAUCGGGUAUUCAGCUGAAGCAUUGCAUGCUGGUGCUUCUUGACUUGUGAAGGUAAGGAGAUGGAUGGAGGAGUUCAUCAUGACCCCCAGAGGUGGGGGCCCUGGCCAUUUGAGGACUUCUAGAGUGGACACUCAUGCAGACUCCUUGGGUGCCAGCCGAAUGGACUGGUGCUCCAGAGUGAGCCUGGGUGACAGAUGAUAAAGACCUUGCAGAAGGAUGAAGAGGGCACAGACUAGAACUGCAACGUUGCAGCCAGUUCUGCCCUGAUUCCUGCAGGUGCCAACCCUGAGGAAAUAAUUUGUUCCAACUAUACUAUUGCAAUCAUGAAGUUGAUGGCAUCUGGGAAACAAGCUGGAGUCUAACUCAUUUUCUGUUGUGGCGUGAACUUGGCAACUCUGGUGACAAUGGCCUUGAGCUUGUUGCCUUUAUUGUCCACUGUGUGAGUGUUUUGAACUUUAAACUCUAUCCCUAGCAUGGUUGGCUACUAGACUUUGAUACUAGGAAACCUGCUUGGUGUGCCUGUUGGCUCAGACUCUGGUGUGCCUGAAUUCUGAGCUUAGUGCUCCUUUCCUGUGGCUUGGGAUGGUGGUAAUUUCAUGCACAGCUAAACUCAGAAUUUCUCAGAGCCAUCUGGUCGCCAGCCAAGGAUUUUGUGCAUUUGGGUGGAGAGGCCAAAAUGUCAGUCAGGGAAAACAAAGCAAAUAUCUCCUUUAAUAACCUGUCUCUGGGAAUCAGCCAAGUCUAAGCCUAUCAGAGGUCCUUCAGCCCACCCCACAUGUGAGGCUGGGCUGCCCUCACCCAUCUCAGAUGGAGAGUCCUUUAAACGCUGUCAGGAGACAAGAUUCCACAUGCUCCCUCCAUCAGCUCUCCCGAGCCAAGAAAGAGAAGAGCUUGUUUAAGUUUGGAAGACUCCCAUUGGCAUAUCGUUGAAGGGGUGUUCUUACAUGUCGUGGGGUGCAGACCCUGCCAACUUCCAUGCUGAGACUCAGGAAAGAGGUUUGGGCUUGAAGCUUGUGUGUCCCAGAGAAAGAAAACCCUAAUGUGGAGGUGAGUGUGUUGAUGGGUUAGAAGUCCAGAUGCCUCAGCCAGCACCUUCCUUCCCUUUUCGUUUUUUUUUUUUUUUAUUUUUUUCACCUUUUGUCCCUCUGUAUUUCUCAGAAAUAAAAUGCUCUUUAGAUGGAUUUGGAUUGUGUCUUUUUUUACAGUCUACUAUGAGGCAGUCUUUUGUUCUGUAGAUCCUGGUGUUCUCUGUUUCCGUGUGAGAAGAUGAAAAGGAAUGAAAUUCCCCAAUGCAUACCCUCUUCCCCAAUGUCCUACACCAUCUCAAUGUCCUUUGGCUUUAAUUGUGAUCCUUCUAGGCCUUGGCGAAGACGGCACUGGGAGUCCUCUCUGAUUCUGGUUUCUUUUAUGAACUUGCAAAUAGUCUAUCCCAAGGAUGGAACUUCAGUCCUGUCCUCACCUUUUCCUAGCAAAAAUGCCCAUAAGGUUAGAAACAAGGCUAUUCCCAUUCUGCCUGAGGACUGUCGUAGCCUCAUCCCAGCUUUAGCCUUUCUUCUCUGUUGCUAAACUGUGUGAUUUCGCAUAGCAAGGCUUUGUUUAUAAGAAGACCUUCUGGUUAUUUAUAUAGAAACUUUUCAUUUUCAUGACUUCAUUUUGUUCUGAGAGCAUAUCCGAAGAUUCUGUCCGGUGGCAGGCCCAAUAAGUGGAUUCAGCACAAGGGAGUUUUCCAUCUUCCUUGGGAAAGAUGGCAAGCAAGCUCAGUUUUAGUUUGGGGGAGAAUUAGUGUAGAAUCUCUAAAGCCAUCUCUAUGGUAAGUCCAUAGAUUUCCAGGAAUAAAACACAGUGAAACCUAUUAAAAAAUUAUAAUCGAGCUUAGUGAAUGAGAAAAAAAAUGAAGUUCUAUCCACAUAUAAGAUGCAAAUGGAAAGAAAGUGAGAAAGUAGAAUGUACAUUCUUAAAAUCCAUGUCUUUCAUUCAAAACUGUUACCAGUUUUACACAUUCGUGGUUUGGCUGGCCAUCUGGGUAUUUUGGAAAGACAGCUUUAAACUUCUCGUGGAAGUUAUACUAAAUCAUCACCCUGGAAAAAAAGCACCCAGAAUUCUCCAGAUGAAUUGUAGCUAGUAUUUACACCCUUCAAAUAAAUAAAUCAGGGGACAGUCUAUAGGCUUUUCCACAAGUGAAUCUAAACCAACAGACAUGCGUGAAAUGGCUUGUCUCAGUGAAUUUUAGCCAGAGCUGCCCCUCCCCUCCAGAAUGCUGAGGACUAUCCUGUAGCACAAGUUUGAGAUUCCAGGCUCUCUGCACCCAGCCCUUUGAAAAGUGCAAGGAAUGCCGAUUAAUGUAUAAAACAGGCUCCCUAGGUCUGCUGGACCAGCUAUGUCUCGAGGCAGGCCAGCUCCAGUUGUGCAAGUGGACAAGCAGGCUAGGUAGUUAUUUUACUUCUGUCCAUUAGCGAUACAGCUCAGAGAAAGGUCAUCAUUGGUGGUUUAUGAUCUUUUUAACCUUUUAAAGCUCUUUUUACUAUCCAGAGGUGAUGGAUAAGUCACUUCCAAAGACAGCUGCACACCUUUCAUUUUUGGCCAUUAGGCAAAGACAGAUCCCAGCAUAGGGUGUUUUCUUUGGGUCUGAUCUUAAUGAACCUAGGGUGGUUGUGAGGGAAGACUCAUUUGUGUAGCUGCAAGUGAUUACUAUCUGGCUAAGACAGAUUGUCCUCAGAGCUCCUGGAAUUGAAAACCAAAGAUAAUUAUGUUAAACCUUAUUAAAAUUAUGCUUUAUCAUCCCAGCAGUAGACUCUCUAGAAACACCCAAGCAGAGGAAGAUGCCUCUGGACCGAGUCUUUGGUCAGACAUCAUGUCAGUGCCUUAACAAGCACAGACAAGCAUUGAGCCCUCCACACACCAUCUCCCCAAAGAUCUCCAAUUAGCCACACGAGGUGGAUUGUGUACAAAAAGCUCCCUUUCUUUUGCAUUCUUUUUGAAAGGACUCCUGUCCAAUUUAUGUCACACGUCACUUUAGCUCCUAAUUCUGAUGUCUCCCGACACCAACGCCAACCCUGUCCUCCCACAUAUUCUGAUCCUUGUGAAGAAAAGAUUUUUUAGAAAUUGUACAACCAAGUCAAGAGUGCCUGCAGACGCCCUGUGGGUGCUAAUGUCACCAUUGCUGCUUCCAUCCUUGUCUAUUUCCUCCCUUUGACACAAGAACAGCAAUUCUUAUCUAACAGAUAAGGAAAAAAAACAAAGACCCACCAGUGUCAGCAUGAGAGCGAGAUUCAUGGAUUGCAUAAUGCAGCAGUCCCUGUAGCUUUCAGAAUUUCAAGAGAAAGUUGGAAGAGACAGAGGCCCAGAGCUCUGGGUAUUUGCAUUUUCACCAGGGGCAUUCUGGGAAAGGAUGACUCACAUGUGUGAAGAUAUUUAUUCCUUUGAUUCAUGUUUAAACGCUGCUACUUCUUAUGCUACGGUUACGCGGAUUAUGAAUAUUUAAUGCGGCGUAUACUGAAAAUGAAGGUCAAGUCCAGCUCACUGGUGACUUCAAUGCAGGCUCUUGUCUCUGAAAGGGAAGCUACCUGCUGUUUGCAGAGUAAAGCUGAAAGGUUAUACGUUGUUAAAUGUUUCCUUAAUGACUUUAUCUGCUCCAAAAUGGCUGGCACACAAUGGGGGCACUUGCUGAUUUUGCCAGUCUUUGCUCUUGGCUUCUGGUAUCAGCACUGCUGUUUUGGGGAUAUGGACGUUAGGAAGGAGGAGGAAAUGGCAGCACAAAUUUUGUAGAGCAUCUCACCCAAGGGCACAAUUGCCAAGGCAACAGUGGGGUUACGAUUGGAAAAUGGCCUCUCCCCAGUCUUUUAAAAUGUUACUUUUGCAUCCACUCACCCAUUUAUUCAUUUUGUAUUCAUUUAUUAGUUUGUAACAUCUUCAAAUGUGAUAAUGCUGAAUAUUUUCCAGGCAGUAAAAUUGCUUAUGGUUAAGGAAAACUAUCUUUAAGAUUGCGAUAGAAAUUGACCAGAUUGUUUUCAUAGUCUCUGAAAAUAAAACUGGCACCACUGAUGUAUUGGGGAUGUCCAGAGCUUUAGCAGAACUGGUUUAGUCGCCCGGUAGUUUCUCCCUCCCCAGUCUUCACAUAGCCUGGUCUCUCAUCCCUUGGCCUAGAAAUUCUCUUUCAAAAGGGAAGAGAGGGCAAGUCGUUGGAGGGAACUAACAUUCACUGAUUAUGUACUGUCUGUGAGCUACAGAGCUAGGCACUUUACCAAAAAUAGCACAUGCAACCUCAUUGAAUUUCCCUAACAACUUCUUAGGAUAGGUAUUACUAUUCCCACUUUACAGAUGAGGAGGCUGAAGUUGCAGGCAUAGACCAAGCUACGUAGCUAGUAAGCAGUAGAGCCAGGAUUAGAUUCCAGCAUGGCUCAUUCUAAAGCCAUCUCUCUUCCAAGUGUCGAGAAGUAAAUUUCCAGAUUGUGGAAGUAACUGACGGGGUUUAAUGAGAUGUUGCAAGAAUGGGAAGUUGCAUCACCUCAUCCUGCCAAUUCACUGGUCUUGUUUUCUCUUUUGUUCUCCCUUUCUCCAUUUCUCACCCUGAGAACCAAGUGUGCAGUUGUGGGUACGUAGGAGGCUCCUAUCACAGGCCUUCCAUGUAAGACACUGCCCUGGGUCAGGUGCUGUCUGAUGUCUGUUUGGGCCUUGAUUCAGUCCUUCCUAAUAAUGGCUUAAUGAGACCAGCUUCUCUGUUAUCUCAGUGGAGUGGCAGCAUUUUGCAAUGGGAUAGGAUCAAAUGAACAAAAAACAAGGAGAGCUGAUUGUUCCUCAUUAGCUUCCACCACCUAGGGGUGUCUUUCCAAGUAGAAAGACUCUUUGGCCUUCCUAUCCUUACCUAAUCUGUCCCUGUGAUUUGGCAUACUGAAAUAGAUACGAGAAAUGCUGUUUCCCCAUGAGAUACAUUCUUUUAUCUCUUUUAGAGAGUUACAGAAUUAGUUGAUUUGUUAUAGUUUUGCAUUAUGUUAUGCAAUGUUUAUAUGCCCAGAGAGUUGGUAUUAUCAAACUAAUGGACUUCAGGAAAAUUUGGCCCCAAAGAAUGGAACCACAUAGGAUGGAGGUCUUUGAAAUGACAUAAAGUAUCUGGCUUCCUUCUCCAGCCUUGUUCAAACUGACUAGGCACAGGUGUAGACCCACUGCCUCUCCUGUGCUCAGCCCCAAGACAGGCACCUGGGAGAGCUGUGAGGACAGCACAGAUCCCAUCCCAUUCAUGACAGUGCAUUUUAAACUGUAAAGGACUGUGUAUACCAGCUUUCACUAUCCCCUUUAGUGUACCCCAUCCUGCAGCGUGAUCAGAUGGGCAGCCUGUGACAUGGAAAAGGAAGCCCACCAGCCUACUCUGUAACCAGUUCCUUUAUGGAAUACAGCCUUUCUAGGUAGUGUUCUGGAAAAUUAGCUCCAGCUCUCUGCCUUCGUGCCCUUUUUGAGAAGUCACGGCAUGCAUUUAACCUUUGUUGAAGAAGUCAACACAAAUCACUGUAUCUGCAAAGCACCUCCCUCUUUUUUUUUUUUCCUUUUAAAAUACUCCCCCCAAUUUUCUCCAUCCCUCACUGACAUUUUUGUUGCCAGGCUUUGGUUUGGAAAAUUAUGGGUAGGGAAAGUUCAAGGGCAGGAUGUUCAGAACGGCACUGCACAUCUGUGAAGGGAACACAACAGGAGAGCCAGCAGCUGUUGAAAGAAUGGAAUGUCAGAUGGUAGAGGAGCCGAGCCCACUCAGGGAUGGUGGAAGAGAAGACGCCUUCAGGGCAAAGAGGCUGUAAAUAACUCCAAUGGGAAGUCCUUGUCUCCCUUCAGAAUGUACCCUUUAAUAGCAACACUUGGUGCUCUGAUAUGAGAGUAACUCUAACUCAGCCUUCCUCGCUCAUCUGACCCUCCAUAUUGCCAUUUGUUCAGGAAUCGAGUGAAAGCCUGGUAGAGAAGACAGGUGGAGAGUAUGCCAAGGAACAGAGUCAACUUCUAUAUAUGUCCUUGUCUCCAUAUAGGUAGAUUUUGGGGAGAGGAUCUGUUCUUUGGUUGUCAAACAGAUUGGUUUUAUUUACAUCAAAGUUCAGAGCAUUAGCACCCUUCCUCCUUUUCCCUUCCACAUUGGUGAGGAAAUCUUGUCUUCCUUGCUUAUUUGUCAUUGCACAAGUGGUACCUAGGCAUCGUAGGCAAUGGCGUCUAGAAGCAUUAAGGGAACUGCUUAUCUUUGGCUUUCACUGGGGGAAUCAGGGACUAUGCUAGGAAAGGACAGAAGGACUGAGCUGAACCUUUCAGGUCUGCCACAAAAGACAACUGUAGAAUAUAGUAUUAGAGUCAAAGAGGCAUUGGAUCCCAACUGGUGCCACUGUUCUCUGAGCCUCAGCAUCCUUUCCUGAGGAAUGAGGAUGAGGGACCUCCUCAAGGUCAUCCAACCAGCCAGGGGCAGAGCUGGAGCUGGAAGAUAGAACUUUUCUCUCCCAGUCCUUUUCUACUUGAUCUCCUGGGUUCUUUCUACUAAAUACAGAAAUGAACAAAGACAUUAUAACCUACUCAUUGAAUAACAAAGUACAUAUUAUCUUUUUAUGCCAAUUCUGGACUUCUAGGCCCUUAUCAUGGGGGAACCUUUAGGGCCAUGGGAAAGAACAAAGAUAAUCCCAGGUGGAAAAGAUCAAAUCCAGCCAGGUGGCUGUGUGGAAUUAGUUUAUUUCAUCCUCACUGGUAAGAGGCCUUGAAUUCCUUGAUUUUAUGACCCUCCUACUAAUCUCUCUCUCUCCCUCCCCACUGUCUCCCUCUCUUUUUUGUACUGUUUCAGCAUGGAGUUGGGGAUGGGUAAGAGUUAAGAGUUCAGCUCCACUGUGGAAGGGUAACACAGGGCUGAACGCAUUGAAGAGCUGAACACAUUGUUUUGGCCUGUUUGGAAUUUGUUAUGCAUAACUUUUGAGGACAUUGUGCCCAAUUGCUCAUUUGUUUCCCCUGUGGAAACACUAUCUGAUAACUAUGUCUAUACAUCCCUAUCUACUUUGCCUUCCAAAAUUAGGAUGAAUUAUUUCUUCCCUUCUCGCCACUCUCCAAAACUUAAAAAGAAUGCUUUGGACAACCUGGCACUCUCUCAGCCCUCUCUUAUUCUUUUUAAAAGAAUAAUUGUUUCAGGGCAAAUGAAGAAAUGCAUUCCCUUUCAGACCCACUAGCCCACUAGUUACUUCUGUCCUCUACAACAAGCCUGAGUUUAUACCGCAAGAGGGCUGCAUCUCCUCCCUGUCACAUGGCACUGGGCCUUUCCCUAUAGUCACAGGCUGACAUGCAUUCAGAGACUGCUGAGAGAUCAGGAUAGGAGCCAGCUGGAGUGAAACGUUAUAGCUCAGAACAGUUUAAUCCAAACACAAGGGCAGUGCUUGUGCCUAACACAACUGUGGCAGGGGUGUGGUGUGGUGUGUGGAGUGGUGGCAGCUUUUACAGCUUUAUCAUGGGGUUCAUGGGCUGGAGGAGAUGUGAACUCUUCCUUGUCUUUUACCCCUUGUCUUUUGACCUGACAGCCUGACACAUGUAGCUUUGGGGAGACCCUGGUUGGUGAUGAGUCAUUUGUGGCUUAAAAAUAGAACUCUCAAAGCAACAAUGCCCUUGGGACUUUUUGAUGCAUAUGUCUUUGUUCAUAGAAUUUGGGAGAAAAGAGAGAGAGGGAGAGAAAGACUGUGUGUGUGUGUGUGUGUGUGUGUGUGUGUGUGUGUGUAGGAAACAAUUAUGUCCUGCCUAAAAAUUAAGUGGAGAAGCAGAGCAUGGGGGAAUUGGCCACCAGGCUCAUCACAGUAGCAGAGAUGAGGCUGAGAGCUGUCUGUGUACCUGUGGCCUUAAAGGUACCAAUCAGAUAAUAGCUCUCCACUGAGUACAAACUGUGUAUAAGGCAUUUUGCUAGGUACUGGGGAAUUUUGAGUACUUAUGUAUAAUGCUAGAUCUUUUCCAUUAAGAUAUUUAAAUUAUACAUAUUUUUACAAGGGGCAGGAAGUCCAGCCAUAUAUAAAGGAAAAAUAAGAUAACAAAACAAGUAAGGUAUCGCUAAGCAAUAUAUCAAUGACUAAUAUGAGCAUUGCACACAGUAAGUGCUGAAGGUUGAGGAGUUGAAAAGAUAGCUGGAUGCUAUAACAUGUUUUGGCUGUAGGGGAGAUUUUGAGUUGAAUAGACAGAAAACUCAGUCUGCCCUCAACUCUAGGAGUCCACAAGAGAAGACUCUCAUUAUGGCCUGUACUCGGGCUUUGUGAUUUUCAGUAUAUGCUAAAGUCAAGCAAAACCUUGCCUUGAAAUCAGCCACUGAGAUUAGGGAUUGAGAAUGCUUCAGGGACGGCAUAAAAUAAUCAGAGAAGUGGACUCUAUCCAGUGGCAGUGAUACCUGUUGUCCAAUGAUAGAUGAUUAAAACUUUUGGAAAUUUUUAUUUGGAAAUUUCCAGAAGCAUCUGAAUGGCAUCCACUCCAUCUUUUUGAAACUGAGGUCAGUGUGCGACGUGCUUUGCAGGGGUCUUGUUACGAACUUGCCACAUACAGAGCAUCACAGGGGCAUGAUGGGGAGGAGAGUCUGCAGUAAAAUGAGCUUGUGCUGCUCGCAAACAGUCCAAAGUGUGGACAUGGAUGUUGGUCUGAAGACCAGCAUUUGCCUCCAGCUCCAUGCUGUGAUUUCCAUGGACUCUAGGUAUGUUGGCCUUGUUGAGCCAAUACUUCCAUAAGAAUAUUAAAUAUUAUAUUUUGCGGCUGCAUUGGUAUAAGAAUGAAUAUAAUCCAGGCUGGAUUUAUUAUUGUUGUUAUUAUUACUAUUAUUUUUAGAGAUACGGUCUCACUCUGUCACCCAGGCUGAAGUGUACUGACAUAAUCAUAGCUCACUGUAACCUUGACCUCUUUGGCUCAAGUGAUCCUUCAGUCUCAAUCUCCUUAGUAGUUGGGAUUACAGGAAUGCACCACCAUGGCUGGCUAAUUUUUUUUUUUUCUUUGAGACAGGGUCUCACUCUGUUGCCCAGACUGGAGUGCAGUGGUGCAAUCAUGGCUCACAACAACCUCUGCCUCCAGGGCUCAAGUAAUCUUCCUGCUUUAGCUUUCAGAGUAGCUGGGACUACAGCUGGGCACCAUCAUGCCCAGCUAAUUAAAAAAAAUUAUUGUAGAGAUGGGGGGUCUCACUGUGUUGCCCAGACUGGUUUUAAGCUCCUGUGCUCUAGCAAUCCUCCCACCUCAGCUUCCCAAAGUGUUGGCAUUGCAGGCGUGAGCCACUGUGCCCAGCCUGGAUUCGUUGUUAUUAUUCGUCAUUUAUUAUUAUAUUUAUUUUCUUCUGAUUUUAAAGAAGUUAAAAUUUAGACUUUUUUGUGUCCCAUAAGUACAGUGGCCUCAGGCACUGUGCCUGCACUGCCUGCUGGAGAAAUUGACUUUAUUUCUCCCUUUCCAACAGCCCCAUCCUUCUGGAAAUUUUCACAGAUAAGAAAACAUGCUCAGAGACAGAUGCCUUAUACUACACCCCUUCAAUGUGGUCUAAUUGUUUCAAAUGAGAAAAUUAAAAUAAGCAUUUUAUUUUAAGCCCUGUCUGAUAACUUGGCUUUGGGAAAUAGGAACUUCAGCAACCCAGCAUUCAAAACAAUGGAUACAACAAAAAUUUUAAGACAACUUAAUAGUCUUGCUUUUCUCCCAAGUUUUGGAAAAACAUGUGCCUUUUCCAUUCUUUUAUCUGACAAUGAGUCUUACUAGUUUAAGAGAUCUGUUCGCUGAGAGUGCAACAGUACAAAAUAACAUUUUUUUCAUCUGAUGUUUGCAAAUUCAUCUGGACAGGGAAGGGCAGACAUUGGAAAUGAGUGAGGCGGAUCUGGUGAGGACUGCGAUGAGAGCUGAAGCCUCACCUGAAGUGGCUUCCCAGGUCCAGCUGAUUGUUCCUAUGCAGAAAUGCAGGCUCUAGUGGCCAGAUCUUCCUGUGUUUCAAAGAGGAGAGAGAAUACUGCAUUUUAUGUUGAAUCUCCAAUUUUAAAAUAUUGGCCUCAAAUCCAAAACUCUUAAAGUACUUGCAGGCCAAGCAAAACACCUCUGCAGGCCAGAUUUGGACCUCCUGUUUUCAGCCUCUAUUCUAAACUGUCUGUCUUUCUGGUCUUGAAUUGGCUGUGCUCCCUGAGUGCCAGGAAACGUUCUUUACCCUUGCUCCUCCAUCUGCCAAAAAGGACCCCUUCUCUCUCUAAGAUGGGAAGCCUUUGGUCUCAGGGUGCCCCGGGUCGUUUGCCAUCUAACACAUUUUCAAACACUGCUUAAAUUUCCAUUUUUCUCGAGGCAAAUACUGUAUGCCACACCUAUAAAUCAUCUACAACUUACUGUAAGCCCCAGAGCUACAUAUCACUAACUCUACAUCAUCUCUGAAAAUAACGUCGUUAGAAGCUCAUAAACAUACACUCUGUUUGUUUAAGAACUGCAAGAGCUUUUAAAACAUGGUUGCUAAGUCACAGGGCAUAUUUUCCAGGACAUAAAUGGAAGUGAACAUAUGCCCCUUAAAUUGUCAGAUUCUUUUUUUAUAAGAAGAGAGGCCCAAAUCUGUCUGUUCUGCCAGGAUAUUAACUUGACCAAAGAAGAGUUGAUUAUACUAAGUGUAUAAGUGUUAGUAAUUAUUGGAAACUAUCCUCUGACUUACUUAGCUAAAUGGGCACGUUGUAUGAAACUUGAUUUAGUUUCUAGCAUAUGUGGGUAUAAGGUACAGGUUGACAUGGAUAAAUCCUGGCUUUAGUUUUCAUGAACCCUAAAGUGCACAAUUUGCUGAACUUUAAUAUUUACUGAUGAAAUUCUUACGGUGUCGUCCCUUCCAAAACAAAAUCGGAGGCAUACCUAGACUUUUUCCCUGAGACAUGUUCCCAAGUCUAGGCUACAACUUCAUCACUGACCCUUUUUCAUGGAAAUUUGGCAGUUAGUGAUAGGUAGCGUCUGAGCUUAUAGCUCAGAUAUUUUCAAAGUAGGAAGUAGAUGGCCCUAUUAAUAUCAACUGCCAUUUCAAUCGAGCUGCCUCAUCAGUCUCUUUUCCCCAUGGAAGACACUCACACCACCUUUUACCUGUCAGGACACUCUCAGGAAGAAAUAGUAGGUAGGGCUCCAGGACCUCUGAUGGUGGAAUCUACUGGAAGGCAGUUGUCCUUAACAAGGAUACCUAUCUCAUGUUGCUCAUCACACCCAUGCAGAGACCUGCCAUCUUGUAAUUUGAGAGCUGGAAUUUCCAUACACCCCCUACCCUCACUCCAUGCCAGAAAACGCAGAAAAUGAACCCAUGGCCCAGUUUGAGAUACAAUUGAUCUUGAGGCCCUAGAGAGAACUGCAGGGACAGUGUGCAGAGAAGGUGAAAAUAACGUGGAUGCUAUUAGAUGACUGUACCUAGCAUGUGCUUUUCCUCUAGCAGUGGGAGGAAGUGGCACAGGAGUGCAUUAAGGGGUUUGCCCUCUUCAUAAUAGCAUGAAUAGAAAUAAUAAGGCAAGGCCUUUAAAGAACAGCAUUAAUAAUUGAAAGGUGCUCCAGGCAACCAUGUGGUCUUCCAGUGCCUUUGAAUACAGUCUGUUAUCAGGUACGAGGUGAGGCUGAGGAGUAGACAAGGAGGAUGCAUUUGGCGGCUGCGUCUGUGUGCAUGCAUGUGCUUAUGCUUGGAGGAAGUAUGAAUGAGUAAGAUUUGGCAGCUACAGCAAGUAAAAUUAUAGAAGGCAAUGUAUGUAUAUUACCAUGUAGACUGGUGGUGGUUCUUUUGUGGGUCAAACACCCAUUUGGGAAUUGGAUGAAAGCUGCAAAAAUUUUGCCUGCCAGGUACCCUAAAGUUGGUCAAUGAAACCCAAACUAAGGAUUUCUGUUCUCUUAAGAUGGAUUCAUCUGCUCAUUCACUCCUGUUUCUUCUGCCAUGAAGAUCAGGUGACUGACAGAGGGCCAUCUUCAAACCCGAAGGUUAAGCAGAGGUUGACUGGGAACUUUUCCCCGCAUGACAUACAAAACAUGUCUAAGUGAAAGUCUCUGCAGUGUUUUCCCUUCUUGAUCAAGUGUCCCUUAACCUGCAAUACAUUCAAAAUCUCAACAAUGACAGGUGAUGCUAAGGAAACUCUGGGAGGGAGGCCCUGGGCUUCCUACCUCUUCCUCCAAUAACAGACAAUACUAAAAGGGGUAGGUAAGACAAGAUGCAUCUAUCAGGCCAAGCCUAAGAGCUCUUUGAUUUGCUUCUCUUGUGUAUUGUGGGUUAGCACUUGUUUGUAGAGGACAAAUUCCUCUUUAGGCAAUGAUUCCAGGAUGCAAACAAUCUCCAGCCAAAAUGAUUCCACCCGAGACCCACUGCUGUUGCACCAGGAACUAGGGACCACUGGGGACCCAAACAGGUGCAAAAGCUGCCACUUCUGUACAAGGCCGUAUUUCUCACCCUCCAUUCGGAGAGGAAGAGGUGAGUGUAGAGAGUCGCCAGGGAUCUCUAUGGGCUCAUCCAAUCAGUCUUCAGACCAGUUUGACAGAAAACAGAAGAGGAGCUUCAGCACAAGGAGGCCUCAUCUCAUCUGAAUUCCCAGCUUCCUUCAGAUUUCUUCCUGACCUCACCUGCCUCCAAGCCAGCCGACUGUGACAGUUUAAUUGGUGCAGGGAAGGCAAGGCAGUGGGGAGGCAGGCAGGGGUGCCUGGCAUUCUGGAAGGAGACUCUCCUGAGAUGAGUGAGGGGAACCGUAACAGACAGGCCUGAGAGCGCUGCCUUUGGGUAGAAAGUCACAGAGCUUUGCUUGAAAAGAAUGCUGGCUGAAGAGGAAACAUUGCCAACUCCCUCCUCUUUGAGCCCACUGGGCCAGAAUUGUAUAUUCAUAUUUGUCAUCUGUGCCCUUUCCACUCUGGGGCAAAGAGGUCUGCUGGGCAGCUCUGGCGGGGAAUGAAAAUGGGUGGGAAUGUAGCUGGGCAUGGUGGCUAACAUGAGGUAAGAGGAUCACUUGAGCCCAGGAGUUCAAGACCAGCCUGGGCAAUGUAGUGAGGCCCUGGAAAAUGUUUUAAAGAUUAGCUGGUCAUGGUGGUAUGUGCCUAUAGUCUCAGCUACUCAAGAGACUGAGGUGGGAGCAUGGCUUCAGCACAGGAGUUUGAGGCAGAAGUGAGCCCUGAUUGCACCACUGUGUUCCAGCCUGAGUGACAGAGUGAGACCCUGUCUUUAAAAAAACAAUUUUGCAAAAAGAAAGUAGGGAGGAAGGAGCCUAGUGGUGAACACCAGGGUUUGGAAUCAGACCAGACCUUCUUGGCUUACUUGGCUCUACUACUUUGUAGCUGUCCUGGGCAAGCCAGUUAACCUUUCCAAGCUAUGAAGUCUUUCCUUUGUCACAUGGGGUGAAAGUGGUGAUGAGAGAUGUCAUAGUGGGUAAUACCUACCUGAUAGUAGUGUGUGGAAACAAUUAGACACUGCAUGGAAAGGCUCUUAGUACAGUGCCCAGCUUGAACAUGACCAAAAAAAGUAUUAGAUAUUAUUGGUAUUGUUCUUUUUGAGGUCUGUUUUGAAACUUUUAAUCAGGUCUUGAGAGAGAUGAGAUAGAAACACAGUGAAGUUAAGAAACAAAAUAAGAUGUAUUGUAAGGCAGUAAAGAGAUCGGUUAUCAGAAUAAUGGACGAGACCUGUGCUUCUGAAAACUGCAAUCUCAACUCAUUCAUGGUUUGUGAAAGGAAAAACAAGCAUUUAAAAAAGAUGACAUAGCUGGGCAUGGUGGCUUGUACCUAUAAUCCCAGCUACUCAGGAGGCUGAGUCAAGAGUAUGGCUUGAGGCCAAGAGUUUGAGGUCAGCCUGGGAAACAGAGUGGGACCUUGUCUCUAAAAGUACAUACAUAAAUAAAUAAAACACGAGAUUGAUCAGCCCAAGAUGGAAAUAUAGCUGGAGAAGUUCAAUUUGAUUUUAUGAAACUUUUGUUUCCAUUACAUAUAUAGAUCUAUGUACUGUAUAAAUGUGUAUAUACUGUAUAAACGUAUGUAUACUGUAUAAAUGUACUGAUUUGUGAUGUAAACUCUGUUUCUUACUGUGGAAUUUGCUAAAAAGCGUUUGAGAAACACUAGCUUUUAGUGUAGAAGCCAGCAUACUCGCUGGUUGCAGUAAUCCAGGGAACUUUAAGGAAGGACGGCAGGCUAGAGUUGGGUCCCAAGGCAUGGGUAGAAUUUGGAUGCUGCAGAAGAGGGGCAUGGGGUGAGCAGUCCCCAAGACCAUCCUCCCUCUGACAUCAACUGCAGGUUUGGCACGUUCCCCAAGUCACCUUCAGGUUCGAUAAUGCAUAGGACUGCAGAGCUCACUGAAGGCUAUUAUACUCACGGUUACAAUUUAUUACAAGGAAAAGAUACAGAUUAAAAUCAACCAAAGGACAAAGUACAUAGGCCAGAGUCUGGGAAAGAUCCAAAUAUGGUGCUUUCAUUAUCUCCUCCAUGUGGAGUCAUGGAUCGUGUUACCUCCCAGCAUCAAUGUGUGACUACAUGCAAGGAGUACUGUCAAUCAAGAAAGUUCACCCGGGCCUCAGAGUUCAAAGUUUUUACUGGGACUGGAUCAUGUAAACUUGAAUGACUGCCCUCAUGGCCAGCCUCAGUCCCCUGCUCCCCUGGAGGUGGAUGGAUACCAUGUAACCCAAAGCCUCCAUCAUAAAUGACAUUGUUAGACUUUCUGGCAUGGUCAGCCCCUACCCAAAAUAACACUGUUACUAUCUGGCCAGCCCAAGACCCCUGGAAAAGACACUUUUAUCAGGCAUGACACUCCAAGGGCUUAGACAUUGCCUCCCAGAAGCUCAGGACAAGGCCAGGCCUCUCUUUGGGCAAAGUUAAUGUCUUUACAAAAAUAGUCAGUGAAGGGACUUUGUUGGCUGGAGGAGAGGCCUCUCUUGAGGAAGGCUGGAAGUGGGUCCUUUGAUCACUUGCAUGAAUAGCAGAGGAGAGGUAAAUGCUACUGCAUGAAGUGGGUGCUUCCAGAUUCUACUAAUGUCAACAAAAUCCCUAUUGAAAACGAAGCGAUUUAUUCCUUCCCUUGGCUCCUCUGCAUACCCGGGCUGAAUAACCUGUUAGCCAGUAAGGGGAAAAUGAGGCACAGGAAAGAGGAAAGGGGUCAGCCUGGAUGUAUGCUUGCCAUGUGGGUGAGUGACCUUGGGCAUAAUGGACCUUUGGUUAGAUCCCAUUUGCUGCCACCUCUGGGUGACCAGGACUUUUCCUGUGCCUUGUUUCUUUGCAGACCUGAUGAAUGGUCCUCUGCGUGCCCGUGACAACUUUAGUAAGGAGAAUAUCUGUCUCCCUGCUCCAAUUUAACUUCCUUUCUGUAAAACUUGAUGAGGUCAAAGCCAGAAAGCACUGAAACUUCAAGCUGGGGAUCAAAAGCAUGUCAACCAGCCAUGCUGCCCCCUUGCAACCUGGCAAAUGAGACAACCUCCAGCCAGGGACAGUUUAUAAUUGUGCAAUCAAAUUAACUUGGAUUUCAGCCUAAUGAAGUCCUUAAUGCCCUGAAUGAGGCCAAGCCCUAAUAUUUAGAGAAGCAGACUGGGCCCCAGGAAAGAAAAGAACAGGCUUCAGUUAAUGCCUGCUAGUAGUAUUAAUUAUGCUUGCAAAGUAAAUCUUUUCCAAAAUUCAUCUUCUCGUAGGAGGCAACCUGAUAGCACCCAGUUCUGCUAAGGGGUUUUCCUGCUGUGGCUCAUAAAGAGAACAGUGGAAAGAACAUUUUAUUGGAAAUCUCUACUGAACUCUGCGUUCUGGGCCACAUUUCUUAACUUCACAGGAUCUUAGCUUUCUCAGUUGAACAGGAAGAAAAUUCCUCCUCUCUUAGAAGUGUUUUAUUGUAGUUAAAAAUCAAUACUCUGAAGGCAGGUAGGCUUGGUUGCAAAUCCCAACUCUGUCAUUUGUUAGCUAUGUGACCUUGAGUGAGAAAUUAACCUCUCUGAGGCUUAGUUCCCUUAACUGUAAGUAUGGUUAAUGAUAUUCUUGGUCGUUAGUAUGGAGAAUAGUGAAUGAGAUACUGUGCAUCAAGCACUUAAUACAGCACAUAGGACAUGCUGGCAUUUAUUACAUCUAAUGAUGAUGAUGGCAUAAAUGUAAAAUAAUUUUUAGUAUGGAUUACAUGUCACUAAUUUGGUAUCAGUAGUCUUUAUUUUCAUUAAGCCAGUGAUUUAGCUCUUGUUUAGAAAAUUGCUGCUGAUUCCGUAAUUAACUCAAUAAAUAUUUAUUGAAUGGCUAUUAUGUGCCUGACACUAUUUUAAGCCCUAAGCACUUACAUUCCAGUAUCAGAAAGAGACAGACCAUAAACAAGUUGACAAGUAAAUAAGAUAAAUUCAGUUGAUGCCACGUGCUGGGAAGAAAAUAAAACUGGUAAUGGAAAAAGCAGGGUUUCUUAAAUGUUUUGUGCUGAGGACUUCUUUGGCAGUCUGGUGAAGACUAUGACCCCUUUCUCAGAAAAAUAUUAUUUAUAAAGGCAUAAUAUAAAAACAUUGGAUUAUAAGAAAAUAGAUUCUGUUAAAAUCAGUUAUCAGAUUAUAAAAAACAAUUUAUGAUAAAGUCUGCUUGCUUCUUGAUUAGGGCAUUUUUAUGAAGAUCCAGCAAUAAUUCUAAUAUACCACCAUCAUUUUAAAGUAGGAUUAAUAUAAGUAAUACUUUGAGAUACCUGUAACAGUUGUAAUCUUAUAUGUAAAUAUCUGAGAUUUCUGUUGCUAAAAAAAGUUACAAGUGUCAUUAAUACUGUUCUAAUUUAUUGUAGAGCACCUGAUUCUGUCACUGUUCGGGGUGCCACUUGUAACCUGCCAUGAUCCCUGGUGGACUGAACAAAGGGGGCUAACUGGGAAAUAAAAGUCAAAGACAAGAGAGUAUAUUUGGAAGAAGGGGUUGGGGGCACCUCACCUCUAGUGGACAAGGGCCCUGAGCUGUUUCAGUCCUCCGAAUUUAUUAGGUAAAAGAGAUAACGAGAAAGGGGCAGGUGGUUGUCGGCCAGCAGUUUGAGUCACAGCAGGCUUGCAAGACUGCAUUCUUCAAACAAUAGGCACUAGAUUUCCCAGUAGAUAACUUUAAGGAGCCCAGCAAACCUCCUGGCCCUUAGCAAACCUCCUGGAGGCAUGCACAGUCCUGAGUUUGCUCACAUUCUGCAUUCAUGAUAAACAGUUUGCUGUUUGAUCAUAUAGCCUCCAGUGGAAUGCUGAGUUGGUCACGUCCCAUGGGCCGUUGGCUCUCUACAAUUUAUUGCUAUAUUCAUGAUUAAAGGAAAUGCCAAAUUUGAAUUAGAGGUUAAUAAAAAUAAAGAUGUAAUUUUUUUGGUCCAAAUCAUGGACUCCCUGAGUAAUGCCGGAGGACCCCUUGGAAGUAUAUGGCCCCAAGUGAAGAAUCCUUGGGAUAGAGAAUGACUUGUAUUGGGCAUUAGGCUAUUACUUUAGAAAGAGUAAUAAUGCAAUUUCCACUUUUAAACAGUCAUUCUGGACAUAUAGAUCAGUGGAAUAGAAUUGAGAGUCCAGAAAUACAUCCAGUUUUUAUAGUCAACUAAUUUUUGAGAAUAAUACCAAGACCAUUUAAUGAGGAAAGAAUAGUCUUUCCAAUUAAUGAUGCUGUCCAGUGUGGGCAACAUAGUGAGACUCUGUCUCUACAAAUUUCUUUUUUAAACAUUAACCAGGUAUGGUGGCACAUGCUUGUGAACCCAGCUACUUGAGAGGCUGAGAUGAGAGGAUCACUUGAGCCUGGGAGGUGGAGGCUGCAGUGAGUUGUGAUUGUGCCACUGCACUCCAGUCUGGGUGACAGAGUGAGACCCUGUCUCAAAAAAAAAAAAAAAAAAUGGUGCUGGGAUAACUAGAUAGGCACAUGCAAAAUAAUAAAAUUGGACUCUUCACAUCAAUUAACUCAAAAUAGAUCAAAGAUCUACAUGUGAGAGCAAAAACUUUUAAACUUUUAGGAGAGAAGACAGGGUGGACCUUUGUGACAUUGGAUUUAGCCAUGAAUUCUUAAAUAUGAUACCAAACACAAAAGCAACAAAAGAAAAAGUAGAUAAAUUGGACCUCAUCAAAAUUAAAAACAUUUGUGUUUCAAUGGAAGGACAUUACAAAGGAAGUGAAAUGACAGCCCAAUUUAAAAAUGGUCAGUUUAUGAAUACAUCUCUCUCUAAAGAAGAUAUGCAAAUAGUCAAGAAGCACAUGAAAAGAUGUUCAACACCUUAGUCAUCAGAGAAAUGCAAAUCAAAACCACAGUGAGAUACCACUUUACACCCAUUUGGAUGGCUAUACUUGAAAAGAAAGAUCAUAACAAGUGUUGACAAGGAUAUGGAUAAAUUGCAACCCUUGUGGCUGCUGGUGGGGAUGAUGUAGAAUGGUGCUGUAGCUUUGGAAAACAGCCUGGCAAUUCCUGAAAAACUGAAAGACAGAGCUACCAUGACAUAUCUAUUCCACUCCUAGGUAUUUACCCAACAGAAAUGAAAAUACAUAUCCACACAAAACUUGCGCUUGAACAUUCGUAACAGCAAAACAAUCUAAAUGCCCAUCAACAGAUGACUGGAUUAACAAAAUGUGAUGUACCUAUGCAGUGGAAUACCAUUUGGCUAUAAAAAGGAAUGGAGAACUGAAACAUGCCACAACAUAUGUGUACCUUGAAAGCAUUAUGCUAAGUGGAAGAAACUAGUCACAAAAGAUCACACAGUAUAUGACUUCACUUGUGUAAAAUGUCAAGAAUAGGCAAAUGUAUAGAGUCAGGGAAUAGAUUACUGACUGCUUGCUUGUGGGGAGAUUGGGGGUUGAUAGCUGAAGGCUAUAGGGCUUCUUUUUGAGGUGAUGAAAGUGUUCUAAAAUUGAUUGUCCCAUUGAAUUUUAAACCUCAAAUGGGUGAAUUAUAUGGUGUAGAAACUAGAACUCAAUAAAGCCAUUAGCAAAUAAUGACUGUGAUGUGGAGAAUAGAGUUCAGGGAAAGACAAAAGCAAGGAAAAUAUUUGGGAGGCAGUUUUCUUAGGUCUCAACUGAGAGGAUGCUGCCUUGGGAGAGGUCGGAGGCAGUUGGGGUGUGAGCACAUGCUGGAGGCGUCACAGACAGAACAGCUGUUUAGUUGAAAAUGGAGAGGAAUCAAGAGUGACUCUUAGGUUGUUGACCUUAAAAACAGGUAUUUUCCUCCUAGAAAAGCUGCGCUUCAGUUACAAUCUGCAGAAAUGCUGGGAGGAUUAGUGGCAAACCUAAAAAAAAAAAAAACACUACAAGCUUAUCGGAGAGUUGGUUUGCAAAGUGUCACUAUCAAUUUCAUUGUACCUUUUAGCAGGGAAAAAUAUUCAUCAUACAUGCACACAAAUUUACACACAACUUCACAUCUUGAAAAGCAACAAUAUAGAACUCACACGCUUUAGAAAGCCAAGCCAGGGGAGAAAGAAUGAACCCCCUGCCUUGUGACUUCUCAUGCUGAUACUCAAUUUGUUCAGUGGAAACGGAUCAGUGAGUAGAGCAAGUAGGAAAGAAUCUCUUCAAGAACUUAUGUAUCUUCGACAUGUCCAUCACGCAUAAUUUUCUCCUAGUCACAUGUACAAAUGAUAAAGGAGAGGAAAAUGUCAUUUCAGGGCCUUGAGUAUCGUAGGAUUUUGAUAAUGUUAGCAAAGUAAUGGGUAAAAUAACUGAUUUCUCAAUUAAAGCCCAAGCUAAGUAACUUGUCAGCCCAGGUGUGUUAAAAUCUGAGUUACUCUAGGUCCUUCUCUAGAGACAGUGUGGCUUCGGUAAUGAGCAAGCUCUGGAAAUUAAAGAAGUAAUCAGAUGUUGAUUGAGGUUAUCUGCUUCACUUCAAGCAGAAGCAAAUCAAGUGGACUUCCCUUGAAGACAGAAAUUUCUCUAUUGAUAGAGCUAAGGGUGUUUCAUGAUGCUGAAUUCUUUGUGGCUCCUUUUCACAUAAAAGUAGGAAGCCAUUUUCCCGGAGUGGAAUGGAGGAUGACUUCCCAGGAAUAUGAGCUUUGAGCCAAAGAAGCAGGAACUGGGAGGCUCUCAGUUACACUUGAGAAAGAAUUGUUUCUCUCAAUAUUGUUCUUCUUUUCCUCCAGAGCCCCAGUGUGAGCCUGGGUGCAAGCUCUGAUAAAUUAAUUGACAGAGGGUUGAUUUCUAACCCCAACUUCACCAGCAAACUUUAGCUGUAUAAUUCCACACUGGACAGACUGACAGGGCUCAUUUUCCUCAUCCGCAAAGAAUGCAGUGCAAUAGAGAACUUGUGAAAUAUCUUCUAACUUUACCACUCUUUGGUUUUCUUAAUCCUGGCAAAAUUCACAGAGCAUAAAAGUAACUAUUAGCCAUUUUAAUGUGUACGAUUCAGUGGUGAUUCGUACCUUCACAAUGUUAUGCAACCAUCACUUCUAUUUAGUCAAGACAUUUCUGUAAACCCAAAAGGAAACCCCAUACUCAUCAGAGUCACUCCCCAUUCCUCUGUCCUCCUAGGCUCUGACAACCACUGAUCUGCUUUCUGUCUCUAUGGAUUUACCUCUUCUAGAUGUUUCAUCUAAAUGGAAUCAUAUAUUUGUGACCUUUGUGUCUGGUUUCCUUCAUUGACGUAAUGCUUUCAAGGUUCAUCCAUGUUGUAGCACGUAUCAGUACUUAAUUCCCUUUGAUGGCUGAAUAAUAUUCCACUGUAUGGCUGCCACACAUUUUGUUUAUCCAUUCAUUUGUCAAUGAACAUGUAGAUUGUUUCUACCUUUUGGCUAUUGUGAAUAAUGCUCCAAUAAACAGUUGUGCACAAGUAUCUGUUUGAAUUCCUGUUUUCAAUUCUUACAUGCAUAGGAGUGGAAUUGCAGGGUCAUUUAGGAAUUCAAUGUUUAGCUUUUUGAUGAAUCACUAAACUAUUUUCCACAAUGGCUGUACCAUUUUACAUUUCCACCAACAACAUGCGGGGGUUGCAAUUUGUCCACAUCCUCACCAACUUAUUUGGUUUUUGUUUGUUUGCUUUGUGUGUAUGUACAUAUAUAUAUAGCCACUACUCCCUUGGUUCGUCUCAGGGAGUAUGCUCCACCUACAGUGGCAGCUUCAGGGAUGGCCAGCAGCACAAUGUGGGAAGAGCACAGGCUUUGGACUCAGACUGAGGUGGGGUUCAAAUCCAGAUCUCCCUCUUCCCAGGAAGGUAGCCUUGGGCAAGUGAUAAUCUCUGCAAAUCUUGGUUUCUCCAUCCAUACAACAGCAAUAAUAUACUGGGGUGAAGAGAUGAGUGAAGCUCCUGGCACAUGCCUGGCAGACAGUAGGCUGAACAAAUGCUCUUCCUCCUUAAUUACGGAUAGAAACAGAGAGAAAGAGAUGGAUUUUAAACAAUCUGCUUUUAAAUUAUUGUUACUACUAUUUUUGCUAUUAGACCUCAUUAUAGAAAGUUUUUUUUUUUUUUUUGCCAUGGGCUUUUCUGCAAAAUCAUGCCUGAUUAAAUUAAUACUAAAAUUGUAAUAUGUUUAUUCUCUAGACCAAUUCAUGGGGUUAAGGGAGAUGGAUCUGCAUGGUAAAUUGGGAAGAUUUACUGAGCGAACCAUUGAACUAGAGAUUCCCAGGUGGAUGACCCACCUUUGUUUGCUUUUCCAUUAUGUCCAUAUUUCAGGGUGGACUUGAAGUAGUCAUUGUUCCUCAAGUUCCUUCAAGAACAUGGCCUUCUUAUUCAUCCUAGAAAACAAAAACCUCUUGGCCACAAACUGCUUUGUUAGCUUUGUACACUGUGUUACUUGUGUUGGAAGCACACAUUCCCUAUGUAAAACUUCAGCCACAUCUUUCAAAUAACACUCACUAACAAGUCCCAGUGAUGUCGUAUUCAUGCUGAAUUAUUCUUUUCUUGGUCCCAAGCAAAGUAGGUUUUCACGUAGUGAGUGCUGAGGAUACCUCCCCUUAGGGUUGGCGCCCAUGGUAGUGAGGGCUUUGGACCAAUGCCACAUGACUACAGGUGGCUCAAGCUGGAAUUUCUGAUCACUGAAUGUGGUGAAUAAUGAGGGAGGGAAAGAGCAAAGCAGUAGCCGGGAGAGUGUUUACACUCAGUGCCCCAGUUAGCUCAGAGCAUGGUAGGCCAAGAAGACACUUGGGCAGGCUCAUAAUUUUAUGUGCCUUCAAAUUGAUAUUUGUUACGUAAGUAUUCAAUAUUUAUUUAGCAGAGAAACUAAGCUUUGUGUUGGGGAAGGGGAGGAGGAAGAAAACUGUUGUAGAGGUGCCUCAGGGACCCUGGCAAGCCUCUUUAGCAGUUCGGAGACUCUUUGUUUAUCUCUGAUCUUGUCCUUAUGGGAGCUUUACCUCCUCACACAUGGCUUUUUAUAGUGCUCUUCUCGAUCAUGUAUAGUGAGUGCUCACCCUGAAAAUCUCAUUUUUCCAUCUUGUUACUUUUCCAGUGAUCUCCUGGGGACUUUAUAGAUUGGCUACCAGGAAACCGAGUGGUUGGCUUACCCCCUAAUUCAUCUCUGGCUGAGAGUUUUCUAAAAGAUAUUUUAAAUUAGGCCGGGCGUGGUGGCUCACGCCUGUAAUCCCAGCACUUUGGGAGGCCGAGGCAAGUGGAUCACCUGAGGUCAGGAGUUCGAAACCAGCCUGGCCGACAUGGUGAAACCCCGUCUCUAUGAAAAAUAUAAAAAUUAGCCAGGUGUGGUGGCACGUGCCUGUAGUCCCAGCUACUCAGGAGGCUGAAGCAGGAGAAUCACUUGAACCCUGGAGGUGGAGGUUCCAGUGAGCCGAGAUUGUGCCACUGCACUCCAGUCUGGGCGACAAGAACAAAACUCCGUCUCAAAAAAAAAAAAAAAAAUUUAAAUUAAGUGCUUGCUUUUUGGCAGGCGCUGUGGCCUUUGUAAGUAUCACCUCAUUUAAUCCUCAUAACAUCUUACAGGGUAGGUAGCAGUAUUACCCCCUUCUUACAGACGAGAAGACCAAGGCACAGAGAGGCUAAAGUAUCUUGCUUAAAGUGACAGCUGGGAAGUGGCAGAAGUACGCCCAAAUGGCUAAUAAAAAUUAGCCAUUUUAUGUGAACAAUUCAGUUCAAAUGGAGCAUUUUAUCCCAGAACUUUACCGUUAAUGCCUGCAUUUGGCUUGGGCAAAAUAGCAUAACGCUUCUUUCCAAAAUAGUCAGGAUUUCAGACCCCUGAUAAUGACAGAGAAAUGAAAGCAGUUUGAGGACAGUUUUAUCUUAAAGCAUCAUAUGUACUAAACCUGGUGAUUUAUUUCUGAGUUAAGAUUGGAAUAAUAAUGAAGUACUAAUAUCCAUAAUAUAAAUAUUUCUGGGAACUGGUGGGAGCUACCCAUCUACAAAGGUGGUUCUGUUUUAUAUGGUUUCCAGGAAGUAUAGCAUUGAUGUCAUAAUUUGCAUCUGGCAGUACCUUCUGAGUCACUGGUUAAUGCCAAAACAUGAGAAUGAUAGAGCCCUGAAAUUCAUUAGCUUCUUCUGGGGCUUGGUGAACCUCAAAACCAGAACCUGGGUUUAAUCAGACAUUCAGUAAGGAAAGUGAUCAAUUGCUUUUCCUAUCUGUAACUAAUUGUAUUUUUAAAAAAGCAGGGAACUUAAUGUGGAAAAAUUUUCCCUCUUCUGCUUUUCUCCAUGAGCCUCAAAUUGCUAGAUAUUCUGUUUCCAGGGUGUUGAUGUCAGUGGAAAUGGCAUGCACAGAAUCAUUAUCUACUAUGCCACAAACUCCAUGCUAUGGUCUGGCAAAGAAAAGACUGCCCCAGGCAAAGGGGAAGUCAGCUUAUAUAAAAAAGCAAUAAGCUUUUCCUUAAUUGCUCCCUAAGAAGGAGGAUUCUGGCAUUUAAGAUGAGCUAAAAGUACAAAAAGAACAUGUUUUGUAAUGAAGGAGGCACACCUCCCUCAAAGACCCCUAUAACUACUCUUCUGGUUUUUGGCUAUUAGUAAAAUAGAGACUGAAAAAUCUCCCAUUGUGCACUCAGGAGUAUGUGGCUGUCCCGGUAGCCCCCUCCUCUUUUACCUGAAGCCCCUCAGAGCAGUUAUGAUUGAUUCCACUUCUCUUCUGAAAGCAUCAAGUCCUGGGCUGGGCAAAGGAAAGAUGAAUGACUCCCAUGGCUCUGUUGUAGAUUACUUAGUGCCAGUUGUCAGUUCUUUUCUCCCUGGGAAGGGUUUGAAAUGAGAUUGUUUUCGACAGGCUAUCCAUGAUAAAUGAUUUUCCGAGUAAGAAAUUGCUUUCAUUGCUGAACUUCACCAAAUCACUCUGACAAAUGUUUGUGGCUGCAGGGGGACUUCUCGUGGCUGUCUCAUGCUUGAGGGGUGGGAGGCUGGGAUCUCAAACCAGGAUGGCUCAAAUAGGACGUCUCCCAGUGAAGACAGAAAGAGACAGGAAUGUCGUCUCGUUAAUGUGCAUUUGGUCAGCUCCUUUCAACUGCUGCUAAAAAUCAACAAGUGAGGCCCAAAAUAUUCCAGAUCCAAGAAAAAUAGGUAGGCUAAAGGGAUGUAUACAUCUCUUAGUUCUGAUUAUUACAUUGUUUUCAUGUUGGUUAUAAAUAGAACAGCAAUAUGUACCUACAGCAAGGGCAAGAACCCUCCCAGCAAUGUUCCAAUGUUUGCAACCUGUUAUUAGUCCAUGACCCUUCCUGAAAAAUCAUAAAAGCAGCAUGCCCUCUUUUAAUAUUAUUUGGCAUUUCAAAAGAGAUUAAAUACCAUGUCUAAAAUCACAAAGGACUGUUAGAAUUUGCCUUUUCCAGCUGCAUAAAGUCCCCCUUCCUCCCCUAGAUUCUGGGAGAAUAGGGCCUUCUGCAAUCACAGACACAUGUCACUUGGCAGCAGGGGCCCCCAGGGCAUUGACGGGAAGAUGCCUCCUAAGCUUGGAUCUGCGGCCUUUGUGGAUAGCAUCAUUGGAUUGUUUACUCAGAGCCCAGGGUCCAGGUGAGACGACUGGCCUGCAAGAGGGGCCCACAGCACUGUCUGAACUAUAGACAGACCUCGGCCGUUCUGGCUUCAAGGAAGGUUGCCACGCUCCUCCAUUCGGCAUGUGGCCUCCAUGGCCCCUUGGUGCCUGCUAGCUCCCAGUUCCUGUUUCCUCCUGGGGCCACAGGAGGAAGGCCACAAAGGCCUCUUCAGUGGUGGUGGCACAGUGCCCAGCAGUCCCGUGGGCACCUACGACAGCCGCAGGAGGUUCCCAUGCUUCCUGCCGUGUGGUUCAGAGAGAGGUGAGGUAUUUACACUGCACUCCACAGGCCUGUGUGGGGAGGAGACUGUCAGGUGGGAGAAUUCUAGAGAAUUACUGGGGACACUGGACAUGGUUUUUGCUGUGACUUCAGAAGCAGGGUCUGUUUAGAGCUUCUGUUUUUUCCUGGCCAGGGGGAGUCCCCUGGGGCAGGUGGAGAAAGAUGAGUCAUGUUUCACCUCUCCACCUGUUCUUGCUGAAAUGAUACCCCAUCUUUCUAGUAGUUCCUGCCUUUGUUUAGACACACAGAUGGCCAGACUGAAGCCCAAGAGGAAAUGGAUGUGCUCAAGACAACCCAGUUGGUCAGCUUCAAUGCCCGUCUUUUUUGCUGUAAUGCCCAUUCUCCCCUGGCCAUUCUCACAUUGCUCAGUUUCUCUCUGGCCAGUGUGCCUGCCCGUUGACAUUCUGCCCUCUUUCAGAACAUUGCAGGGGAGGAGUCUGUAAGGUAACCAUCACCAAGUCAAGCUGUGUAUAGUCCAGCAUUGCCAACUGGAUUCGCUUUAUUCAUUCACUCAUAAAACAUUUUGAGCCUUUUGUGCACCAUGCUCUGUGCUGGGUGCUGGGACCAUAGAAGUAAACAGAAAAAGUUUCCCACCUUCAAGGGGCUCCUGGUCUCACAUGGUAUCUGACAAGUGGGAGCAGCGGUGCCAACAACAGCAUGGGAAGUGUGUUGAGUGCUUACUAUUCUAGUCCAGGUUCUAAGCAUUUUCUUUAUAUUAACUCUUCUGAGCCUUACCCAAGUCUGUGAGAUGGGUGCUGUCAUCAUCGAUAUUUGAUGGAUGAGGAUAUUAGGGUGCAGAUUAACUAAUUAGCUCCCACAGAGUCGCAUAGGGAAUGGGUGACACCUCCAAGAUCUGAAUCCCAGGAACUCUGGCUUUGGGGAUAGAUGCUCUGAGUUGGCACUGCAAUGGGAGUGAGUCAAGGGCAGGGAUGGUCGGCACUUCAGGAGGGUAAGGAAGAGCUGCCGGAAGGAGCUGGUGCCUGAGUGGGGUCCUGAGUGUUUUGGUGAGAAGCAGCCUGGCUUUCCUGAGCUCUGGGCUGGGUCUUUGGGAGCUGGGAUUGUCCUGCAGCCCCUUUCUUGUAGUGUAAAGACUGUCAUAGAAAAGGCAAGUUCAUC